UGGGGAAUUUUGGACAAUGGGCGAAAGCCUGAUCCAGCAAUGCCGCGUGUGUGAAGAAGGCCUUCGGGUUGUAAAGCACUUUUGUCCGGAAAGAAAUCCUUGGCUCUAAUACAGUCGGGGGAUGACGGUACCGGAAGAAUAAGCACCGGCUAACUACGUGCCAGCAGCCGCGGUAAUACGUAGGGUGCAAGCGUUAAUCGGAAUUACUGGGCGUAAAGCGUGCGCAGGCGGUUUGCUAAGACCGAUGUGAAAUCCCCGGGCUCAACCUGGGAACUGCAUUGGUGACUGGCAGGCUAGAGUAUGGCAGAGGGGGGUAGAAUUCCACGUGUAGCAGUGAAAUGCGUAGAGAUGUGGAGGAAUACCGAUGGCGAAGGCAGCCCCCUGGGCCAAUACUGACGCUCAUGCACGAAAGCGUGGGGAGCAAACAGGAUUAGAUACCCUGGUAGUCCACGCCCUAAAACGAUGUCAACUAGUUGUUGGGGAUUCAUUUCCUAGUAACGUAGCUAACGCGUGAAGUUGACCGCCUGGGGAGUACGGUCGCAAGAUUAAAACUUAAAGGAAUUGACGGGGUCAUAGCUGUUUCCU
rnacentral:rRNA from 1 species